rnacentral:rRNA from 1 species
UACGUAGGGUGCAAGCGUUGUCCGGAAUUAUUGGGCGUAAAGAGCUCGUAGGCGGUUUGUCGCGUCUGCUGUGAAAACCUAGGGCUUAACCCUGGGCCUGCAGUGGGUACGGGCAGACUAGAGUGCGGUAGGGGAGAUUGGAAUUCCUGGUGUAGCGGUGGAAUGCGCAGAUAUCAGGAGGAACACCAAUGGCGAAGGCAGAUCUCUGGGCCGUAACUGACGCUGAGGAGCGAAAGCAUGGGGGAGCGAACAGG